ensembl:lncRNA
UGAACAUUCACGACAUACACUCGCUCUGUGGUCUGUGGCUUAGACUUCAGCCUUUCAGGUGGGUCAUUCGGGUGACCCUGACUUGAGCAGACACAGCUCUGUGGCCCUGCCAUAAGCCAUCCCAUCCCAGUUGGAGAGAGAGGCAGCUGGACUGAAGGACAGGGCAGAGCCGACGGCCUGAAGGUGAGGUUGCUGCUGAGCCCAGGGGUUGAGAGCGCCGGUUCCUGCUGUGGUCCCGGAGCUCCUCCUGAGACCUGAGGGAAGCCGUCUGCCUAGUACAUCAUGAGAAACGACUGGAAGAAACACAAGCUGGAAUCAAGAUUGCCGGGAGAAAUAUCAAUAACCUCAGAUAUGCAGAUGACACCACCCUUAUGGCAGAAAGUGAAGAGGAUCUCAAAAGCCUCUUGAUGAAAGUGAAAGUGGAGAGUGAAAAAGUUGGCUUAAAGCUCAACAUUCAGAAAACGAAGAUCAUGGCAUCCGGUCCCACCACUUCAUGGGAAAUA